AUUGCAUUGAGUGAACAAGCAACAAAAUGGCAUACAUAGAUCAUAUUUAUACCUAAUCACCUUGAUUUGAAUGAAUUAAAUAACUUGCAGACAACUUAAAAGACACAUCAUUAUAUAAGCUGUCGGUUUCACUAUCUAUAUAUAACUUACAGACGGCAGCCAUCACUGUCUAUAUAUAACUUACAGACAGCAGCCGUCUAAACUGUUGAAGGUGCCCUGAUUAGAGAUAUAUCGCUGUAAGGAUCGCUGGCUCCGGAGCCUCUCCGCCGCUCCCGCCUGUUGCGUCACGCCGCGUGUCCACCCAAUGAGAUCAUACUGCGUGUCGCGCAUUAACGUGGCUGCUCAUCGCGUCUGCUUGACGCGCAGCAACAGAAUCAAGCAGUCAGCCACGCCACUUGCUCGCCGCGUGUCCAUAAGUCCAUAACCAGGAGAGUCGUCCUUGCAUCUCCACCAAAUCGGCGACACGACACAACGCUUCGUCCUCCUCGCCCUCCUCAUUUGCAAGGAAAAAAAAAAAACCCCUCGACGCCGCCGCUGCUCGCCGCCUUCUGUCCACCGGUGGGAUCCAAGCCCGUGCAAAAAGGGCUUGGCGGCGGGUAGAGUUCCGGGGAGGCGGAUGGGCAGACGGAGCUGCUGGCGCAGUGGGUGGCCACAAGCUGAGGAGGACUGCCUCAACUGCUCAUGGCGGCAGCGGCCAUGUGGGGCAUCGCGAUGCCGGACGGGAGCUGGUCAAUUGUCGCCUCCUCCGCACGUCGUUGCGCCGCUGCCGUCCUCCUUCGAAUGGGUGCUGCAGGUCCGUCGGCGUCCUCACUUGUGAAGCCCGCCGCAGGGCGCCCGAGUUCGCCGAGCGCGGCGCCGCGCUUGCCCGUCGUGCCUUUCCUCAGGUCCUACCUCCCUUCCGUGUGCGUCCAUGUCCGGGCGAUGCCGGAGUUGUGUUGGUUGUGGGCCAUCAGGCGAGCAGGUGGACAGUGCGCCGCUCCGGUGACCGGUCCCUUCCUUCUGAAUCGGCAGGCAUUUCCACUGCCGAAUCAGGCGUCGCCAUCUACGCAUCGACGGUGUUCUUUCCCACUCUCUGGCCUCAUGCUUCUCAGCUAUGCUGCUGCCGCCGGUCUCAUUUUUCCAGUUAUUAUCCGAAUCCAUUUGCUCGACACAAUCUUUUGUUCCCCUUUAGUUCUAUCUCUUCUCAGUGUUCGGAAAAACUCAGAUGUGGCUACAUCUACGUGCUACUUUGUUCAUUCUGACGCGCGCAAUCAUCUCAGCAGCUUCAUUUCAAUAUGCUAAUUUAUACCGCAAAUUCCUUGCUGUAGUGAAGAUGGUUAUGUGCUGUUUGGAUCUGGGAAUGCUCUCUGGUUCUGGGAGCUCAUUUGCAUCUGUCAACGGCUAACAUCCUUGUCAAAGCACCAUUUCCUUUUGUUAGAAGACCACUCAAGGACGUGCCCAUAUGUCAGCUCUUUGGCCUAUCUUUCCUCUGUUUCUUUUCCCCAUUCCCCUCUCCCUGCGCCUACAGUUCUCAAGCUACUGCCCUCAAAUCCACAGCCAUGGCUGUAAGUUCUUGGACGAUUACUACUCCAACUCAAGUCUACAAGGGUUCUGGAUGCUAUUUAUCCAUUUUUCCCCUUCGAUUUCUUCCUCUCUUGUAAUUGUCACCUCACCCUAGCGGCUUGUGCAGGAUGGGCCGCCGACGGCGAACCGGCCAUGGUGCUGUGGCCGGCGAGCUGUGGUGCUGUGAUGGGAACCAAGGCCCAUUGCGUGUUGCAGGAGCAAGCCGUGCUUCAUCUCAGGCUGUGGCAUCAACUUCUAGACUCUGACAACCUUAGCUUCUGAUUCUCCUACAAGAUCUUCACUCCUUGGAUGGUCUUUCUUCUUGAUCAGCUCGCUCUCUUCUUGACUUCCUCAUCUGGAAGGAACAAGGAGCUUCUAUUUUGUCAGUUCCAUGGGGGAAUGCUCACUCUCUCCUCCACCUUGUACUGAAAGCCUUGCAGAAAUAUAAUAUCUUAUAUGAUCAGUGUCAUUGUAUUUCAAGUGCAAGAGUACUGUAUAUCAAGGAAAUCAGUAGGGAUCAUUUCAAGCUGCAGACCGCGUCCUCACACCUCCUGGACAGUCUGAAACGUUCCAGGUGUUAGGCCAAUCUAAUAUGAAUUCAUAGCAUAUGUAGAUAGAGAGUGCCUCCAAUACAUUUUUUUUGAAAAUUCAAACUCCAUCCCACAAUGCUGCGAAAAAAUCAUGGAGUUGCUGGCAAUCCGCUGCCAGUCGUUUUGCUCGCCCCCCUGAAACAAGUUUCGGUUGUCUCUUGCUUCAUUUUUUUUUAUUUCUUUAUUUAGGCAUUUCAGCAAACAUGUAACGUAUCUUCAAGUUCCGUCUCUUAUCACCUCUGUUACACCGGUUGUAGCAACAUAUCGUCAUAUUCAACUAUCUAUUAC